rnacentral:rRNA from 1 species
GACGAACGCUGGCGGCGUGCCUAAUACAUGCAAGUCGAGCGGACAGAAGGGAGCUUGCUCCCGGAAGUUAGCGGCGGACGGGUGAGUAACACGUGGGCAACCUACCCUGUAGAUCGGGAUAACAUCGAGAAAUCGGUGCUAAUACCGGAUAAUCAUUUGAAGUGCAUGCUUCGAAUGUAAAAGAUGGCUCCGGCUAUCACUACGGGAUGGGCCCAGGGCGCAUUAGCUAGUUGGUAAGGUAAUGGCUUACCAAGGCAACGAUGCGUAGCCGACCUGAGAGGGUGAUCGGCCACACUGGGACUGAGACACGGCCCAGACUCCUACGGGAGGCAGCAGUAGGGAAUCUUCCGCAAUGGACGAAAGUCUGACGGAGCAACGCCGCGUGAGUGAUGAAGGUUUUCGGAUCGUAAAGCUCUGUUGUUAGGGAAGAACAAGUGCCGUUUGAAUAAGGCGGCACCUUGACGGUACCUAACCAGAAAGCCACGGCUAACUACGUGCCAGCAGCCGCCGUAAGAC